UUAGAGUUUGAUCCUGGCUCAGGAUGAACGCUAGCUACAGGCUUAACACAUGCAAGUCGAGGGGCAGCGGGAUUGAAGCUUGCUUCAAUUGCCGGCGACCGGCGCACGGGUGAGUAACGCGUAUCCAACCUUCCGUACACUCAGGGAUAGCCUUUCGAAAGAAAGAUUAAUACCUGAUGGUAUGAUGAGAUUGCAUGAUAGCAUCAUUAAAGAUUUAUCGGUGUACGAUGGGGGUACGUUCCAUUAGGUAGUAGGCGGGGUAACGGCCCACCUAGCCAACGAUGGAUAGGGGUUCUGAGAGGAAGGUCCCCCACAUUGGAACUGAGACACGGUCCAAACUCCUACGGGAGGCAGCAGUGAGGAAUAUUGGUCAAUGGACGAGAGUCUGAACCAGCCAAGUAGCGUGAAGGAUGAAGGUCCUACGGAUUGUAAACUUCUUUUAUAAGGGAAUAAACCCUCCCACGUGUGGGAGCUUGUAUGUACCUUAUGAAUAAGCAUCGGCUAACUCCGUGCCAGCAGCCGCGGUAAUACGGAGGAUGCGAGCGUUAUCCGGAUUUAUUGGGUUUAAAGGGAGCGCAGACGGGUCGUUAAGUCAGCUGUGAAAGUUUGGGGCUCAACCUUAAAAUUGCAGUUGAUACUGGCGUCCUUGAGUGCGGUUGAGGUGUGCGGAAUUCGUGGUGUAGCGGUGAAAUGCUUAGAUAUCACGAAGAACUCCGAUUGCGAAGGCAGCCUGCUAAGCUGCAACUGACAUUGAGGCUCGAAAGUGUGGGUAUCAAACAGGAUUAGAUACCCUGGUAGUCCACACGGUAAACGAUGAAUACUCGCUGUUUGCGAUAUACAGCAAGCGGCCAAGCGAAAGCGUUAAGUAUCCCACCUGGGGAGUACGCCGGCAACGGUGAAAC
rnacentral:rRNA from 1 species